GACGAACGCUGGCGGCGUGCUUUCCUUUGCAAGUCGAACGAUGAAGUUACUUCGGUAAUGGAUUAGUGGCGAACGGGUGAGGAACACGUGAAGAAUCUGCCCCUCAUUUUGGGAUAACUUCGGGAAACCGAGGCUAAUACCGAAUAUUGAAACAUAAGUGGCAUCACUGAGUUUUGAAAGUUUUUCGAUGAGGGAUGACUUCGCGGCCUAUCAGCUAGUUGGUGAGGUAACGGCUCACCAAGGCAACGACGGGUAGCCGGCCUGAGAGGGCGAACGGCCACACUGGGACUGAGACACGGCCCAAACUCCUACGGGAGGCAGCAGUAGGGAAUAUUGCGCAAUGGAGGAAACUCUGACGCAGCGACGCCGCGUGCGGGAUGAAGGCCUUCGGGUUGUAAACCGCUUUCAGUAGGGAAGAAGCGAAAGUGACGGUACCUACAAAAGAAGCACCGGCUAACUAUGUG
rnacentral:rRNA from 1 species